rnacentral:rRNA from 1 species
GAUGAACGCUGGCGGCGUGCCUAAUACAUGCAAGUCGAGCGAACAGACGAGGAGCUUGCUCCUCUGACGUUAGCGGCGGACGGGUGAGUAACACGUGGAUAACCUACCUAUAAGACUGGGAUAACUUCGGGAAACCGGAGCUAAUACCGGAUAAUAUAUUGAACCGCAUGGUUCAAUAGUGAAAGACGGUUUUGCUGUCACUUAUAGAUGGAUCCGCGCCGCAUUAGCUAGUUGGUAAGGUAACGGCUUACCAAGGCAACGAUGCGUAGCCGACCUGAGAGGGUGAUCGGCCACACUGGAACUGAGACACGGUCCAGACUCCUACGGGAGGCAGCAGUAGGGAAUUUUCCGCAAUGGGCGAAAGCCUGACGGAGCAACGCCGCGUGAGUGAUGAAGGUCUUCGGAUCGUAAAACUCUGUUAUUAGGGAAGAACAAAUGUGUAAGUAACUAUGCACGUCUUGACGGUACCUAAUCAGAAAGCCACGGCUAACUACGUG